AAAAGGACAAACAAAAUGGAGUAGCUGGAGCAACUCCCCUAUGAAGAAAGGACAAACUAUUAGCUGCUUUUUUUGUUUGGGGCAAAACAGCAGCAGAGGGAAAGGUGGGAACUAUUCUUCCCCUCUCUCUUUGAUGCUUGCGUUGCCACUACAUCAGCAACCCAGGUGCCAGAGAUCUGCAGAAAUGUAGCAUACACCAGUGCAAGGACCUACCUUCCGCCUCUGCUUCUGCCAUAGCUGAACAAGGAAAGAAAAGGAGGAGAUAACUUGCUAGUAUUCCUGCAUCCACCAGGUCUUUCAUUCAGUUUUUGCACACUUCAUGGAGGACCAACGUGUGGAUGUAAUCGGAUGCAAGAGCAGAUCCGACUACAUGAUCACUCAGACACUUUGGCACAGGGUGAUAGUAGAGAAACCAAUAAAAGUUACCCCAAAGGUUAUCUAGUUGAAUCUGCCUGUGUGCCACAAGUCCCUUAUGUA